ensembl:lncRNA
UGCAGAGCCAGAUUAUUUCCGUGAUUGAAGUUUAAUUGCUGUAGAACUUUGGUUGAGAAUACAUUUUAAACUUUUUUUUCUGUCAGAAUUAUUGUUAUGGUUCUCUAAUGAAAACACUGAGAAGUAAAUCUGAUGCUUUCUAGUGUGACUGUUUUUCUCUUUAAAAAGUCAUUUUAAAACAAAGAUCAGAGAACUAUAAACAGAAAUGUCACCAUUUUGUUGACAAAUCAUUAUUUGAUGAUAAUGGAGACAAAGAAUGAAUUGUUUUGUUGUUUGACUUCAGAGAUAUGAUUGUGCACCAAAUCUUAGAGGAAGUAAAUGAUUUUAAUAUUAUUGUCACAGUUUUUAGCUCAAUGGUUUGACUGUUAGCAUUGAUUAAACAAUUCCUUGAAAAUAUUUUAUGACAUCUUGGUAAUCUACACAGUGUUUUUAUUUGCAUGAAUAUGCAUAUGUGAUGAACCAUACAUAAUUCUGGCAUUGUAUUUCUUCCCAGUAUUAACACUUGUGUAAUGUAUGACCAACCCUGAUUUGUAUACUGUAUGAUUAUUGUUGUAAUGAUCCUGCAUUUAAUUGCAAUUUUAUUAUCCCUUUCAGUGUUAAAUGAUGUAAAGUGUUUCCACUGAAUAAUGAUACCAUAUGAAAACAUGACUAAAAAUCUGACCUAAGAAACUCUUUAGUAGCUAAUUAUUUUUUAAAAUUCGAAUUUCAAAGGAAACUUGUUCUUGAAGACAAAUGUGUUUAAAUCCAAACAGUUAUUUUAUGAAUUCAUUUUUGCUUGUCCUUUUAAAGGUUUUUGUUGUUGACAAUCCUAAGUGACUGUCUCACGGGAGAAUCCAUACAAUAUGUGCUUGUAUUUGUAUUUGAUCAUGCACUCAAUGGUUGGAAAAGGCACUACAGUGCUAAGAAGAUAACUGAGGCCAAUACAUCAAUUCUUUUAUCUUGGUUUAUGUUGCCAACUGAAUAUGGUUUAAUGUAUAACUCUUUCUAGUAAAUAAACUGGUUAUCUUUCA